UAUACCCCUCCUAAUCUAUAUAUUAUUAAAAAGAUGAUAGUUUUAGGACAAAAAUUAGUUAAUUAUUUAAUAAUUAGUUACUUAUCAGUUCUUGUUUUGAAUUUGAUUUGAGAAGUUACCAAUUUAAUUUAAAAUAGUGCCCGAUCAAAUGAUUACAAUUCCAAGGGGAAGUUCUAAAAAUUUGUUAUUCAUUUUAUUCAAGUUCAAUGAGGGGGGGUGGGGAGGUGAUAGAAGGUGGUUUACUAAUGAAAUAAGAAAGAAAGACGUGGAACGUAGAUAAAGAUAUUUUUAUCAUUGUAUUUAUUUAUUUAUUUUGUAAAAAAAAAAAAGACAAAGAGAAAAUACAAAAUACAAAAUAAAAGAAAAAAAUGAAAAAAGUGAAAAAUCCCUAAUAUGCUCAUUAACUCCCCACGUCCCAAACUCCACAAUCCCUAAUAUCCACAUUAACUACCCUAUUUUUUGCACACACUAAGACUUAACUUCUUCCUAAUAAACUGCUUCUGUUUAUUUAAAUUCUUUGAGAAAAAAGAAACACACCGCACAAAAUAAUGCCAUGGCCACAAAAGUUGCCAAUGAACAUCCACUGUUUGAGUUUCUUUUUUUUUCUUUUUUUUCUUUUUUUCCCUCCAUCACAAGGUGUUCUUAUGAACCUCGGAGAUCAGCCUUGAUUUGGGUCUUUGGGAUGCGUAUCCACGUCUCUUUUUUUGCACGACACCACAAUUAAAGGCAUCGACACUUUCAAUUAUGCAAGCACAUUUUCACUUUCGGAUAUUACUCUUAUCCCUUUGCUAAUUUUAUGUUUCAGUUUUUUUUUUCGUGUCAAAUUUUUUGAGUGUUGAUUUAGUGCGUCAAUAAUCCUUCUGCAGACUCAGGAGUUGGUAAUGGUAUUGGCAGGCUGAACAGAAGGAGAGGUUUAUAAAGACCAAAUAUUUUUCAAUAUUUUAAACUGUGCUUCAUGACUACAAUUUUAAAGAGCUUGAUCUCCUCUCCUAGCGAAGUAGUGACAUCAUGAGGAAUCAUAACGAAAUAAUAGAUGAGGAAAUCUAUAUGUUCAGGAAGAUGAUCUUAUUGAGGCAAAAUAAAACGAGG